UGGGGAAUAUUGCACAAUGGGGGAAACCCUGAUGCAGCGACGCCGCGUGAGUGAAGAAGUAUUUCGGUAUGUAAAGCUCUAUCAGCAGGGAAGAAAAUGACGGUACCUGACCAAGAAGCCCCGGCUAACUACGUGCCAGCAGCCGCGGUAAUACGUAGGGGGCAAGCGUUAUCCGGAUUUACUGGGUGUAAAGGGAGCGUAGACGGCUGAGCAAGUCAGAAGUGAAAGCCCGGGGCUCAACCCCGGGACUGCUUUUGAAACUGCGGAGCUGGAGUGCAGGAGAGGUAAGCGGAAUUCCUGGUGUAGCGGUGAAAUGCGUAGAUAUCAGGAGGAACACCAGUGGCGAAGGCGGCUUACUGGACUGUAACUGACGUUGAGGCUCGAAAGCGUGGGGAGCAAACAGG
rnacentral:rRNA from 1 species